rnacentral:misc_RNA from 1 species
UGGAUGAUACAGUAAUACCUU